rnacentral:rRNA from 1 species
AUUGAACGCUGGCGGCAGGCCUAACACAUGCAAGUCGAGCGGUAGCACAGGGAGCUUGCUCCUGGGUGACGAGCGGCGGACGGGUGAGUAAUGUCUGGGAAACUGCCUGAUGGAGGGAGAUAACUACUGGAAACGGUAGCUAAUACCGCAUAACGUCGCAAGACCAAAGAGGGGGACCUUCGGGCCUCUUGCCAUCAGAUGUGCCCAGAUGGGAUUAGCUAGUAGGUGGGGUAAUGGCUCACCUAGGCGACGAUCCCUAGCUGGUCUGAGAGGAUGACCAGCCACACUGGAACUGAGACACGGUCCAGACUCCUACGGGAGGCAGCAGUGGGGAAUAUUGCACAAUGGGCGCAAGCCUGAUGCAGCCAUGCCGCGUGUAUGAAGAAGGCCUUCGGGUUGUAAAGUACUUUCAGCAGGGAGGAAGGUGUUGAGGUUAAUAACCUCAGCAAUUGACGUUACCCGCAGAAGAAGCACCGGCUAACUCCGUGCCAGCCGCCGCUGUAA